GACGAACCGUCCAAACGUUAUUCGGAAUCACUGGGCUUAAAGGGCGCGUAGGCGGCCGAGCGGGUCACGGGUGAAAUCCUCCAGCUUAACUGGAGAACUGCCCUUGAUACCACUGCGGCUCGAGGAAGGAAGGGGCAAUCGGAACUGUCGGUGGAGCGGUGAAAUGCGUUGAUAUCGACAGGAACGCCGGUGGCGAAGGCGGUUCUCUGGGCCUGUACUGACGCUGAGGAACGAAAGCGUGGGGGAGCGAACAGG
rnacentral:rRNA from 1 species